ACAGACGAAGGCGACUAUCAGGUAAAACUACGCAGCCUGAUUCGCUUUCUGGAAGAUGGGGAUAAAACCAAAAUCACAAUCCGUUUUCGCGGACGUGAAAUGGCCCAUCAGCAAAUCGGUGCCGAUGUGUUAGAGCGUGUUAAAAACGAUCUGGCAGACAUCGCGGUGGUGGAGUCCGCUCCGUCUAAACUGGAAGGCCGUCAAAUGGUGAUGGUACUUGCACCCAAAAAGAAGUAAUUAGUGCCGACAAGUAAUUAAAAGUGCGGUCGGUUUGUGCCGACGGUUUUUAAUUCGCCUAAUUAUCGUUAUUAAUAAUACAAUGCGGAGUUAAUCCAAUUAUGCCAA
rnacentral:misc_RNA from 1 species